CCGGGAGCCGCACGGGUGAUGGUUCUGAAUUCGCACCAGCCUUCCCAUCCACGCUGGUGCACAACGUGGGCCAUCUUUGCUGUUCUGAAGGCUGGCAUACUUGUGAAAACUGCAGUCACCAGCAGAGAAGAGCUGGCAUCCUUCCCGAAGCAUCAUGGGAUGCCAGCAGCAGGACGGGGCCCUGACAUCACCCAGUGCGACUGCUAAACUGUCAUCGUCUCUCUGCAGUGAGCAAGGAGACCAAGCAGGGAGCACCUGCCUGCUUGAAGGAAAGGCCCUCGUGGGCGGCGACAUUCCAUCAGCGGUACUCACCCCAGCCAAAGGCACAGGGCGGCACAGAGUGGUUAGACCCCACCUGAGCCCGCCAGAGCCAGCCUCCACAGACCCAUCUGCACUUGGAUGUCCUCAGGAUUCACCGAGCCAGUGAACCGGCUGUCUUCCCAGCGAUCGGGAGAAAGGCAAAUUUGGGGGAAGAGAAGAGCCAGGAUCAUGUCUCGAAGAAACCAACAGGGAUCCUCAUCACCACCCCCAAGCCUUGCCUGGAAGUCACCUCUGCAAACCCCACAUGGACAACAGCCUCUGCCCGAUGCAGCUGAGCAGGCCUGUAAUUGCUGAAUCUGCAGCCUGUCUUCACAGCAACUGCCUCAAGCAGCCAAAGCACAGCAACAGGACCGGCCCGUCCCUUAGGCAGAUCUAGGCAGUUGCCUAGGGCACCCUUCGGGGGGGGGCAAUAAACAGUGCCAGCAUGGAGCACUGCCAAUUAUUCUC